rnacentral:rRNA from 1 species
UACGGGGGGAGCAAGCGUUGUUCGGAUUUACUGGGCGUAAAGGCGCGUAGGCGGCCAGCGCAAGUCAGUUGUGAAAUCUCCGGGCUUAACUCGGAACGGUCAACUGAUACUGCGCGGCUAGAGUGCAGAAGGGGCAACUGGAAUUCUCGGUGUAGCGGUGAAAUGCGUAGAUAUCGAGAGGAACACCUGCGGCGAAGGCGGGUUGCUGGGCUGACACUGACGCUGAGGAGCGAAAGCGUGGGGAGCGAACAGG